rnacentral:misc_RNA from 1 species
GAUGAAGAACGUAGCGAAAUGCGAUACUUGGUGUGAAUUGCAGAAUCCCGUGAAUCAUCGAGUCUUUGAACGCACAUUGCGCCCCCUGGUAUUCCGGGGGGCAUGCCUGUCCGAGCGUCAUUGCUGCCCUCAAGCACGGCUUGUGUGUUGGGCCUCCGUCCUCCUCCCGGGGGACGGGCCCGAAAGGCAGCGGCGGCACCGCGUCCGGUCCUCGAGCGUAUGGGGCUUCGUCACCCGCUCUUGUAGGCCCGGCCGGCGCUUGCCGACACAUCAAUCUUUUUUCCAGGUUGACCUCGGAUCAGGUAGGGAUACCCGCUGAACUUAAGCAUAUCAAUAAGCGGAGGA